AUACUUACCUGGACGGGGUCAAUGGUUGAUCAUGAAGGCCCAUGGCCUAGGCUUAUGACCUCUAUUGCACUUUGAAGGGGUACUUGCCUAAGGUCGGCCCAAGUGGUCGAGCCUACGUCAUAAUUUUUUGCUGAAGAGGCUUGCGAUCGCGCGGCCCUUGC
rfam:Solanum lycopersicum cultivar Heinz 1706 chromosome 6, whole genome shotgun sequence.